rnacentral:rRNA from 1 species
AUUGAACGCUGGCGGAAUGCUUUACACAUGCAAGUCGAACGGCAGCACGGGGGCAACCCUGGUGGCGAGUGGCGAACGGGUGAGUAAUACAUCGGAACGUGCCCAGUCGUGGGGGAUAACGUAGCGAAAGUUACGCGAAUACCGCAUACGAUCUAUGGAUGAAAGCGGGGGACCGUAAGGCCUCGCGCGAUUGGAGCGGCCGAGGUCAGAUUAGGUAGUUGGGGGGGUAAAGGCCCACCCAGCCGACGAUCUGUAGCUGGUCUGAGAGGACGACCAGCCACACUGGGACUGAGACGCGGCCCAGACUCCUACGGGAGGCAGCAGUGGGGAAUUUUGGACAAUGGGCGCAAGCCUGAUCCAGCCAUUCCGCGUGCAGGACGAAGGCCUUCGGGUUGUAAACUGCUUUUGUACGGAACGAAAAGGUCCUGGUUAAUACCCGGGGCUCAUGACGGUACCGUAAGAAUAAGCACCGGCUAACUACGUGCCAGCCGCCGCGGUAA